UGGAACUGCAGAGCACUCUAUCCUGCGAAGCCAGAGCACUGAUUCUUGUAACACAAUCCGCUGGUUCAUCCUCUGCUGUGAAUCUAUGGAUCAGUAUGCCUGAGGGGAAAAAAGGAUAGGAGCUGUGACUCAAGGAGAAAGAUUUUGGCCUGAAGCUGUGCUCAGUGCUGGGUGCUGCUUCCCUCACCAUUGAGUCAGUACUGUCCUACACCCAAGCUGUCUUCGUGUGCUCCUGCUGUGUAGAACCCAGAUCCCAAACUCAGGAGACCAGGGAAGCAAGUACGUUUGGAUACACCUGCAGGGAUCCACCUGGAUGUGGCAAUACCAUUGCUAAUGCAGAGAAAAUCAACUGUUCAAAUCACAGGACUUCCACAGUACUUCCACAACAGGAAUGCCAGCCUUCACUGCAAACAAUUCUGACAUUUGUGGGGACAUUUAAUUGGCUCUGCUGGAAGAGCUAAAGAGGUGGACCAAUUUUGAUGCUACAGAACUGGAGUUGAAGAAGCCAUGACCUUCCUCAG